CAUUGAGCCUUGAUGUGUAGGAUAGGUGGGAGGCUUUGAAGUGUGGACGCCAGUCUGCAUGGAGCCGACCUUGAAAUACCACCCUUUAAUGUUUGAUGUUCUAACGUUGACCCGUAAUCCGGGUUGCGGACAGUGUCUGGUGGGUAGUUUGACUGGGGCGGUCUCCUCCUAAAGAGUAACGGAGGAGCACGAAGGUUGGCUAAUCCUGGUCGGACAUCAGGAGGUUAGUGCAAUGGCAUAAGCCAGCUUGACUGCGAGCGUGACGGCGCGAGCAGGUGCGAAAGCAGGUCAUAGUGAUCCGGUGGUUCUGAAUGGAAGGGCCAUCGCUCAACGGAUAAAAGGUACUCCGGGGAUAACAGGCUGAUACCGCCCAAGAGUUCAUAUCGACGGCGGUGUUUGGCACCUCGAUGUCGGCUCAUCACAUCCUGGGGCUGAAGUAGGUCCCAAGGGUAUGGCUGUUCGCCAUUUAAAGUGGUACGCGAGCUGGGUUUAGAACGUCGUGAGACAGUUCGGUCCCUAUCUGCCGUGGGCGCUGGAGAACUGAGGGGGGCUGCUCCUAGUACGAGAGGACCGGAGUGGACGCAUCACUGGUGUUCGGGUUGUCAUGCCAAUGGCACUGCCCGGUAGCUAAAUGCGGAAGAGAUAAGUGCUGAAAGCAUCUAAGCACGAAACUUGCC
rnacentral:rRNA from 1 species